CAUAGGUUUGGUCCCAGCCUUCCUGUUGACUUUCAAUAGACUUACACAUGCAAGCAUCCACGCCCCGGUGAGUAACGCCCUCCAAAUCAACAAGACUAAGAGGAGCAGGUAUCAAGUACGCAUCAUCGCAGCUCAUAACGCCUUGCUUAACCACACCCCCACGGGAGACAGCAGUGACAAAAAUUAAGCCAUAAACGAAAGUUCGACUAAGCCAUAUUGAUUAGGGUUGGUAAAUCUCGUGCCAGCCACCGCGGUCAUACGAUUAACCCGAGUUAACAGGAACACGGCGUAAAACGUGUUAAAGCACUUCACCAAAUAGAGUUAAAUUCUAAUUAAACUGUAAAAAGCCCUAAUUGCAACAAAAAUAAGUGACGAAAGUAACCCUACAGCAGCUGACACACUAUAGCUAAGACCCAAACUGGGAUUAGAUACCCCACUAUGCCUAGCCCUAAACACAAAUAAUUACAAAAACAAAAUUAUUCGCCAGAGUACUACCGGCAACAGCCCGAAACUCAAAGGACUUGGCGGUGCUUUAUACCCUUCUAGAGGAGCCUGUUCUAUAAUCGAUAAACCCCGAUAAACCUCACCAAUCCUUGCUAAUACAGUCUAUAUACCGCCAUCUUCAGCAAACCCUAAAAAGGGAACAAAAGUAAGCUCAAUCACAACACAUAAAGACGUUAGGUCAAGGUGUAACCCAUGGACUGGGAAGAAAUGGGCUACAUUUUCUACCUCAAGAAAAUUUAACACGAAAGUCAUUAUGAAAUUAAUGACCAAAGGAGGAUUUAGCAGUAAACUAAGAGUAGAGUGCUUAGUUGAAUUAGGCCAUGAAGCACGCACACACCGCCCGUCACCCUCCUCAAGUAGAUAUGCUGCACUCAAACCUAUUUAUAUGCACCAAUUAAAUGAGAGGAGACAAGUCGUAACAAGGUAAGCAUACUGGAAAGUGUGCUUGGACAAAC
rnacentral:ncRNA from 1 species